rnacentral:rRNA from 1 species
UGCCAGACUCCUACGGGAGGCAGCAGUGAGGAAUAUUGGUCAAUGGGCGGAAGCCUGAACCAGCCAAGUCGCGUGAGGGAAGAAGGCCCUGCGGGUCGCAGACCUCUUUGGACGGGGAGCAAGGCCGCCGACGUGUCGGCGGAAGGAGAGUACCCGUAGAACAAGCAUCGGCUAACUCCGUGCCAGCAGCCGCGGUAAUACGGAGGAUGCGAGCGUUAUCCGGAUUUAUUGGGUUUAAAGGGUGCGCAGGCGGAUUUUUAAGUCAGCGGUCAAAUCGUGGGGCCCAACCCCAUCCAGCCGUUGAAACUGGGGAUCUAGAGUGUGCGAGAGGUAUGCGGAAUGCGUGGUGUAGCGGUGAAAUGCAUAGAUAUCACGCAGAACCCCGAUUGCGAAGGCAGCUUACUAAACUGUGACUGACAUUGAUGCUCGAAAGUGUGGGUAUCAAACAGGAUUAGAUACCCUGGUAAC